rnacentral:tRNA from 1 species
UGCUUGUAACACAGAGGUAGAGUACUUGCCUAUCAUGCAUGAGGCCCUGGGGUCAAUCCCCAGGACAGUAA